UACGAAGGGGGCUAGCGUUGCUCGGAAUCACUGGGCGUAAAGGGUGCGUAGGCGGGUCUUUAAGUCAGGGGUGAAAUCCUGGAGCUCAACUCCAGAACUGCCUUUGAUACUGAGGAUCUUGAGUCCGGGAGAGGUGAGUGGAACUGCGAGUGUAGAGGUGAAAUUCGUAGAUAUUCGCAAGAACACCUGUGGCGAAGGCGGCUCACUGGCCCGGUACUGACGCUGAGGCACGAAAGCGUGGGGAGCAAACAGG
rnacentral:rRNA from 1 species